GUGUCAAUGAUGAGAUCUUUUCACUGCUGUAGAGAGGUGAUAACUUAAAAAUCAUGCUCAAUAGGAUUACACUGAAGCCC
rnacentral:snoRNA from 1 species